rnacentral:lncRNA from 1 species
UGGACACAGGACUUCACAGACCCCCCAGAACCUGGAGUUCCUGGCACUGCAGGAUGGCGGAACUCUUGUUUGUUACAAGUUCCCAGCAGGAGUGUGGCCAGCGGAUCUCUGGCUUUAGCUGGAAGCUCUGUUUCUGUUUCUGGAUGCACUGCCCGGCCUGUUCUAUUCAUUUAUUGAGCACUUACUGUGUGCCUGGCUCUGCAAGGGAUAGGCUCUGUCCCCACACAGCCUCACCGUGAUCCUGUCAAAACAGAACAAAACAAACCGUGCUGGGGCCCAGAAGGAUCCAGAACAGGGCACAGUGUUGGAGGAUCACAAGACGGGAGGCGUGAACGCCAUUUGUGAACACCACUUGAAUGGGCAGCUGGAAGGGGGUCUUCUUAGGAGGUGACAAGCGAGCUGAGACUUAAGUGGUGGGAAGCAUUCCAGGCAGAGGGAACGGUAAGUGCGAAAGCCCCGAGGCAGGCCCCAGUCUGGUCAGCUGGGAAAACAGCGAAGGGCCUGAACGUCCCUCUGUCCCUGGAAAGAGGGAGGAGUUUGGGUGUUAUUGUGAGGACAAUAGGGAGCCAUUGAAUACUCCAACACACACACACACACUCAAAUCCUUAUCCUCAGGAUCUCUGUUCCUCUCCCCACCCUCGCAUCCUCCAGAUCUCAUCUCCAAUGUAAACUUCUUCAAAGACGCCUCUCCCAGACACCCGGAUAAGCAGGUUCCCUCUCAUUCAUUUCCAUACCUGCUCCCCAAACUCUUCCUUUGUACACACAAAUAAUUCCAUAAUUACCAAGCUGUGGUCUUGUCUUGUUCCCGGAGCUCAGAGAAGGCAGGAAUCUGUAUUCCUCCGCUCUCCCUUAUAUUCCCGGUACCUGGAAGGGUGCCUGGCAGGUAAUAGAUGUUCCAGAAACACCUGUUGGCUGGAAGGCACUGCUCUUAAGUUUAACAGGGUUUGGGGCACUAUUUGCUCACUCCCCUGCAGACACAGAUGCAGGGAUUGAUACAAAGCAAGGGUUUCUCUCUGUUUUGCUCUCUGCUGUGCCCAGUGCCCAGCGCAGUGUGCCGUCCACAACAGGUGGUCGAUACGUGUUUGUUGAUCGACUUAACAAAAGACCAUGAGGUUUUCCAUAAGCAGGAUGGGAAUAAGAAUGUCCCCCCUCCCAGGUGGGAACACUGAGGCCCAGAGAGGGGCCCAGAGAGACGCCAGCACCGGGCCAGGCCGCCUCCUAAGUCUUAGCCCACUCCCUCAGAAAGGCCAUUUCUGACCCCAACUGUCCCCUGACCGCCACGCUGCUCCCCACUGUGGGCCCCCAGGUGUUUCUUGGUUUCCUUGCGUGUGUCUCUCGCUUGGGCCGUCGGGGAGGGGGGGGGGGACGAC